AAUAACGUCCAGCAUUUCUCUUCCCAGCAGCCUCCUUGGACAAGCAAUGGGCAGCCCCAUCAGAGGGAAACUGAAGCUCAGCAAUUGACAGGGAGCUGCCCACAGCGACCCUUUGGGAUUUACAGCCUGGAGUGGGGCUCAGCAGGGGCAAAGGCGGGAGUGACAGGGCCUCUUGUGAGCCAGCGAAUGAGCGCAGCUGCCCCGCAGCCUUGUGCGGCUGGCUGUACAGGCUGUGCACUGCCCAGGCAGGUGGAAUCGAACUCGGGACCUUACGCUGGCGGGCAGGCGCUUGUGCCCCUGAGCUGUAUCCUUGGCUGGUGUGUGUCACUGAGAGAUGUUUAGAGGCAACAGCAGGCAGUGGGCAGGGUGAAUGCCAACAGUGUGCCACUUUACCUACUUUAGAGUUUUGGACAGAGGGUCUCACUAAGUAACCCAGGCUGACCUUGAACUCAUGGAGACCCUCCUGACUCAGUCUCCCAGGUGCUGGGACGACAGCUGUGGGCCACCAUGCAUGGUUAUCGUGAUUUUCAAAGCCUGGAGUACCCACUGAGCAGACUCUGGAAUCAGCCCCCCACAGACCUGAGAACCAGUCAUAGGGCUGACUGGAGAUACAGGGUGACGGGAGGUCUGAAAGCCAGAUCUCUCCCUGCUAACCCAGGGCCAGUUACAGCCCAUGGGCCAUGGCCGGGCCACCGACCAUCUCUGCGGUCCCUAUCUCCUGAGAACCAUGCCCGUGUUUGAAUUAGCUCAAAGCAAGUAACAUACACUUUCAUGACAAGCAACAAAAUCCUACCAAAUCCUAGUUUCAGGGGUUCUGGUUUGCGUUUUGUGAGAUGGGGUCUCGGUAUAGCUCAGAUUUCAGCUUCCGGCCAGGCGUGGUGCCAAAUGCCUGUAGUCUGAGCUGCUGUGGGGCCAAGGCAGGAAGAUGCCAGGGGUCCAGGAGCUCGUCAGUAGCCGGGGCACAUCAUCUGACCCCAGCUGUUUUUCUAGGUGUUUAGUUUGCAGAAAUGAAGUUUUACUGGAGUGAACCGUGCUGUUCAUUGACCUAACACCUAUAGCUAGUUCUGAGAUGCACAGCAAACCUGGAUGGCACAGACACGUGGGCUGCUGGGCCCUGGCGGAAAGAGCAUGUGGUAAAGAUGGGAUUCAUGUGGGAACCAGGCUGGCACUUUGCUCUCAGCACUGACGGCAUUUGGCUGCCAGGGACGCUGGCCUGACUCAGGGCCCUGGGCAUGAUGCGUUAGGUGGGCACAGGGGCAGAAACGGCCUAAAAUCUCAAAAUAUGAGCAUUAAAAUGCUUUGCAGGGCUGCGUCACUGGCCGGGCACCAUGCAUGCCAGGCCAGCAGUCACUACCCGGCUGUACCCCAGACUGAUAUUCUGAGAGCUGAAACCCUUCUGCCCAGGGAUUGAGAAAGGCCCAGGUGGCCGCCAGCGGUUCCCUCCUGCCCUCAGGCCUCAUCCCCAGCCCACCAGGCGGAGAGCACCCACCGGCAGUCCUUCUCGAACUCCUUGGACUCGUCGGUACAGUGGAAGAACUUGCCCUUGAAGAGCUGCACGGCCACCACAGCGAAGAUGAACAUGAAGAGC